GUGGCGAACGGGUGAGUAACACGUGAGUAACCUGCCCUUAACUCUGGGAUAAGCCUGGGAAACUGGGUCUAAUACCGGAUAUGACUCCUCAUCGCAUGGUGGGGGGUGGAAAGCUUUUUUGUGGUUUUGGAUGGACUCGCGGCCUAUCAGCUUGUUGGUGAGGUAAUGGCUCACCAAGGCGACGACGGGUAGCCGGCCUGAGAGGGUGACCGGCCACACUGGGACUGAGACACGGCCCAAACUCCUACGGGAGGCAGCAGUGGGGAAUAUUGCACAAUGGGCGCAAGCCUGAUGCAGCGACGCCGCGUGAGGGAUGACGGCCUUCGGGUUGUAAACCUCUUUCAGUAGGGAAGAAGCGAAAGUGACGGUACCUGCAGAAGAAGCGCCGGCUAACUACGUGCCAGCAGCCGCGGUAAUACGUAGGGCGCAAGCGUUAUCCGGAAUUAUUGGGCGUAAAGAGCUCGUAGGCGGUUUGUCGCGUCUGCCGUGAAAGUCCGGGGCUCAACUCCGGAUCUGCGGUGGGUACGGGCAGACUAGAGUGAUGUAGGGGAGACUGGAAUUCCUGGUGUAGCGGUGAAAU
rnacentral:rRNA from 1 species